CAGAAACCAUUUAGUUGUUCUGAGUGUGGCAAAAGAUUUAGGAAAGAGGGCAAUCUGAAUACACACAUGAUAAUUCAUACGGGGCAGAAACCAUUUGUUUGUUAUGAAUGUGAUAAAAGAUUUGGACAAAAGGGCAAUCUGAAGACACACAUGACAAUUCAUACUGGGCAGAAACCAUUUGUGUGUUCUGAGUGUGGUAAAAGAUUUAGACAAAAGGGCAAUCUGAAUAUACACAAGCAAUUUCAUGCAGGACAGAAACCAUUUGGUUGUUCUGAGUGUGUUAAAAGAUUUGGAAACAAAGGCCAUUUGAACAGACACAUGCUUGUUCAUACAG